rnacentral:rRNA from 1 species
AUUGAACGCUGGCGGCAGGCCUAACACAUGCAAGUCGAGCGGAGCGGCGGACGGGUGAGUAAUGCCUAGGAAUCUGCCUGGUAGUGGGGGAUAACGUCCGGAAACGGGCGCUAAUACCGCAUACGAUCGCAUGAGCCUAUGUCGGAUUAGCUAGUUGGCGGGGUAAAGGCCCACCAAGGCGACGAUCCGUAGCUGGUCUGAGAGGAUGAUCAGUCACACUGGAACUGAGACACGGUCCAGACUCCUACGGGAGGCAGCAGUGGGGAAUAUUGGACAAUGGGCGAAAGCCUGAUCCAGCCAUGCCGCGUGUGUGAAGAAGGCCUUCGGAUUGUAAAGCCCUUUUAUUGGGGAGGCGGUACCCACAGAAUAAGCACCGGCUAACUUCGUGCCAGCAGCCGCGGUAAUUC